CUUUAGUUAAUCAACAACAGAUCUCAUGCGGAUAUGAAAUAUACAAAUACAUUUGUACAUACGAUGAAAUGUGCUUCUAUGUUAAUAUUCAGUAUAACUCACAGAUUUAAUUAUAGGUUGUUAAGAUAAAUUGAAAGUUUGUGGUAAACGUUUAUUUAUUAGAGAUAACGAACUAAAAAUUUAAGCAAAAAUAAUUUUAUUUGACUCAAAUAUUAGUAAAUCUAGGAUAAAGUACUUAAGUACAAAAUUAUAAAAUGAUUACUUGAUUGAGCUAUCUUGCAGAAUAUCCGAAAUAUUUCCUAAAAAAUUAUGUAAGCUAAUAGAAAUUAAAUAUUUCGUAAAAAAGGGCUAGGAGAAGGUGCCGAACUAAAAAAUGCUAAGAAAAGCAUUGUGAAAAAACUUUAUUAAUUAAAUAUUCUCUUUGACUGUUAUAAGUCUGUCUCAAAAGAUACAAACAAGUCUCUAAUCAGGAUGAUCAGACGUAAGUGGAUUUAAGUGUGACAAAAAUGGCAAAUGCGAGUGUCGAACAUAAGAAAAAUCAGGGUACGAAUAAUAUAAAGAGCGCGUAUUUCAAAUAUAUAUUUUAUCAAAAAGUUUUUUUUACUUGUAUAGAGCUGAGACAAAAACACUGCGAGUAUAAGUUAGAGAUUUGAAGUAAUCGAUGAAUAAGUGUGAUGUGAAAUAAUAGAAUUAAAUAAGUAAAAUAUGUUGUUAAUAAGUAAUUUAUUUAUAACUUUCAUUAUUAAAGUAAGUAUUAACUAACUUAGUAACUAACAGCCUCCUUGAGGUAGUCACUAUCCACUGUGAUAUUAGAGCAGCGAUUUUAGCCGUAACCUCGCUAGCUGUGUGUUCAAGACUGGUGAAGGGAUGUUUAGACUUCUUCUCCUUGCCAUUGAGCUAGUAUAUGAUCAGACUGGUUUGUGUGCCUGGGCAUAACGGUAUUGCAGAAAACUACAAUGCUUAUGAACUUGCUAGGUCAGGUACUUCAGUCAAACUAACUGCAGAUUGAGAACGGGUAGGAGCUCUCUUCGCACGCUUAAUUACUAGAUUGUUGGACUAGACCAGCUCAGCAAGCGUUGGUUUACUACUGGCGACUGUAUAGUUACAAGGUCCUUUCAGUCCCGGGUAAAUUGUCUUGCGAGUUCUUCGUAUUCAGCAAAGUCCACCUUUCAGUGGUUAUAAGAGUUCUACCUGGACACUAUUCAAUCGAGAUUCAUGCUGUAAUAUUGAACAUUUUACCGGAUGCCAGUUCUAGGAGCUGCUUGGAAGAUGAUGAGAUAGAAUCAUCUCAAAAUUUCCCUCUGGAAUCUCCCACCUUUGCCAGAUUAAGAACACCUCGAACAGGUUUCAUUCAUGGGGCGGUAGGAAUCACUGCAGCACUGAAUGUCCCUUUUUUAGCACCGAAAAAGUAAGUAAGUGAGUCUAAACCAAUUGAUACAGUAGCCAUAGCAAGUAGCACAUAAAUGAAAACCCACAAAAAUUCAUGACACCGUUUAU